CAGGAGGUACAACUGCAGUGAGUUAUAAAAAAUGGCUUUUCGGCUUGAGCCAUAAAUUAAUUCGGGCAGACAUUCUGAAGGGCAAAUAGGGACUCUGUACUUUAAAGCUGACACAUCUGUGGCCACUGGGCUGACAGUGAUGCACCAGAGCCUCUGGUAGUCGCCACAGUGGGCUCCAAGCCUACUUUUCAGAAGAUUAGCACUAAACUUCUUCAGGGGAAAUAAACAGAUACUUGAGACCCUCAAUCCUGUUUGAACCUCAUGCCAUUUCAUCAGGCCAGGAAAACAGAUUUGGUCACAGAGUUUCAUGUGAGGAUGGAGAAAAUGAGGCUCAGACUGGUUAGAAAGAACUUUUCCAUGGUCACAGAGCUAACUGUUUGAACCAUGACUCUGCUCAGGAAUAAGAACAAAGAUUUUCUUAGAAUAAACCAACAUUUUCUCCAUCCACUCCA